UCUUUCAAGUGGGCAAUCGAAUUAAGUUUGUUAUUAAGAGUAACUCCAGUUAGCCUCCAUUGUCUCCAAGCUGCCUUUCGUCCUCAUCCACAACUCCUCCACACAAGCUCUGAACACCUGUCCAUGAUUCAACGGUUUCAGGUACUCCCACCCUCAA